GGACAAUCCUCAUCCCUCAGGGUGAUGUGAGCCUCACAAAUGUGAGCCCUGGAGCUGUCUGUGUGCACAGCCUCUCCCUGUUUGCCUCUCCCAGCUCUUCCCAAAGCCUAUCCAAGGGCUGCUCUCCUGUUCUCAGGCCGUAAUUCUGAGUGUUGAAUUAUCCUGCACAGAUGUUUGCUGCUGUUUCAGCCUCUGCCUGCAGAAGGAAGCUUAACUGCCUCUUACAUUUAUUCCCAAGGAAAAAUGGCUGAAGAGUUUUGAAGCCCCUUUCAGCCAGGUUUAACCAGCUUCACAAUGUUUCCCUCAAAAACCUGAUGUGGGUCAUCUCUGAGGAGCUCAAGGAGUUGUUUGGAGCUUUUCCAUUCCCUGCAGCCCUCUCAGCUCCCAGCCCUGCUGGGCCAAUUCCCCACAUCCCAAAGGCUUACAGAGCUGUGGCUUCACUGUUGCAGGACAAACUCCUGGGCACUGGAGCUGAAGGAGGGGGAAAAGAGAGAUCUGAGCAUCACCAGGAGCUGUACACGGCAGCAAAGCUGGAAGUGGCAAAGCCCACAGUGCUGCUGCUCUUUGGGAGUGGGUGGUGCUGCUGAUGGAGUUGGAUUCAAAUUCCACAUCUGCAUCUUCUGCUCACACAGGUAAAGCUG
rnacentral:lncRNA from 1 species